rnacentral:lncRNA from 1 species
AAAAAGAAAAAAGAUACAUGACCAAUAUUAAAAGACUAAAUUAGAAUUUAAAUAAUAACACUAGAUUAAUUGAAUUAACUAAAAAUAUAAUUGUUUUAAUUAAAAGCCAAUGCGGGUGCAUCAUCUGUUGAAUGGCCAAAACAGGGGUGUGUCAAUAGCAGAGGGCUAAGCCCAAUAAAAAAAAGAAAAUAAAAAAAGAAAUUAAGUAAACA